UUCAUUAUCUGCAUUAUUAAGUAUAGAAAAGGGAUGUACAAAGAUUUUUCGUUUUUUUUUUUUAUUCUGGGAUCAUAAGGAUUUGAAGGAUAUAUAUUAGGAUCCAAUAGAUGGCAGUAAUGCAACAACUAUGGAUGCAAGCUGUCGUUAAAUCCUAAAGAAGAAGAAAAAGAAGAAGAAGAAGAAGAAGAAGAAGACAACGACUUUACUGUGUUUGGAUUUUACUGGUAUGCCGGACAACGUCUCGCGUUCAACUCCUCUAGGACGCGAUCCACAACUUUCAGCCAGUCCGCAGACUGACGAGAAGAAACUGCUGAUUGCUAUCAGUGGACUGUCUCGUCAGCUUACUCAACAUACUGCCGACAUGAAUGAGAGGUUCACUCAACUGCAGAAUUCGGUAAACUCCAGGUUGCUGUCCAUAGAGGACAAGAUGGCGGCUCUGCAGUCGAAGAACUGUGCUGGAGAGACUAACUCCAUCAAGAGAAGACGGAUGCACAAAAGCUUGCGUACGCCGUCUUCACAACUCGGAGACAAAUUGCAGGCGCUAUGAACCGGCGCAAGGACUAAGCACGCCUCAUAAUGAGGCAGUUACCUCCUAUCUGCUCGGAGCAAUAACUGCAAGCCUCGAUUUACACUAUAUUGAUAAAGACGACAUUGUGUCCGCCUGUAAGACGUAUUACGAGACGGUACGCAGGAGCUUCAUAUAUACGCAGCCAGAGAACUCAAUGCGGGCGGAAGCUGCCAAGAAUUCAGCUCGGAGUCGAGCGAGAAGAAAGAGGCUGCAGGAAUCGAGGCAGAGCGUGCUAGCUGAUGAGGAAGUGGAACUCUGGAUGUCCGCCACCGUCGACCUCAUGUCUGACGAGGAAGAUGGCGUCGUUGGCGGGGU